GAUGAACGCUGGCGGCGUGCCUAAUACAUGCAAGUCGAGCGAACAGACGAGGAGCUUGCUCCUCUGACGUUAGCGGCGGACGGGUGAGUAACACGUGGAUAACCUACCUAUAAGACUGGGAUAACUUCGGGAAACCGGAGCUAAUACCGGAUAAUAUAUUGAACCGCAUGGUUCAAUAGUGAAAGACGGUUUUGCUGUCACUUAUAGAUGGAUCCGCGCCGCAUUAGCUAGUUGGUAAGGUAACGGCUUACCAAGGCAACGAUGCGUAGCCGACCUGAGAGGGUGAUCGGCCACACUGGAACUGAGACACGGUCCAGACUCCUACGGGAGGCAGCAGUAGGGAAUCUUCCGCAAUGGGCGAAAGCCUGACGGAGCAACGCCGCGGGAGUGAUGAAGGUCUUCCGAUCGUAAAACUCUGUUAUUAGGGAAGAACAAAUGUGUAAGUAACUAUGCACGUCUUGACGGUACCUAAUCAGAAAGCCACGGCUAACUACGUG
rnacentral:rRNA from 1 species